CGAACGGGUGAGUAACGCGUGAGUAACCUGCCCUGGAGUGGGGGGACAACAGUUGGAAACGACUGCUAAUACCGCAUAAGCCCACGGAUCCGCAUGGAUCUGCGGGAAAAGGAUUUAUUCGCUCUAGGAUGGACUCGCGUCCAAUUAGCUAGUUGGUGAGGUAACGGCCCACCAAGGCGACGAUUGGUAGCCGGACUGAGAGGUUGAACGGCCACAUUGGGACUGAGACACGGCCCAG
rnacentral:rRNA from 1 species